GACGAACGCUGGCGGCGUGCUUAACACAUGCAAGUCGAACGAAGUGGCGAACGGGUGAGUAACGCGUAAUCAACCUGCCCUUCAGAGGGGGACAACAGUUGGAAACGACUGCUAAUACCGCAUACUGAAGGAGGGGAUUGCGUGGGAUGAGCUAGUUGGAGGGGUAACGGCCCACCAAGGCGAUGGUCAGUAGCCGGUCUUGGAUGGUGAACGGCCAAAAUGGGACUGAGACACGGCCCAGACUCCUACGGGGGGCAGCAGUGGGGAAUCUUCCGCAAGGGACGAAAGUCUGACGGAGCAACGCCGCGUGAGUGAUGACGGCCUUCGGGUUGUAAAGCUCUUUUAAUCGGGACGCGGUACCGGAAUAGAAAGCCACGGCUAACUACGUGCCAGCCGCCGCGGUAAUAC
rnacentral:rRNA from 1 species